UCGGGAAUAUUGCGCAAUGGAGGAAACUCUGACGCAGUGACGCCGCGUGCAGGAAGAAGGUUUUCGGAUUGUAAACUGCUUUAGACAGGGAAGAAAAAGGACAGUACCUGUAGAAUAAGCUCCGGCUAACUACGUGCCAGCAGCCGCGGUAAUACGUAGGGAGCAAGCGUUAUCCGGAUUUAUUGGGUGUAAAGGGUGCGUAGACGGGAAGUCAAGUUAGUUGUGAAAUCCCUCGGCUCAACUGAGGAACUGCAACUAAAACUAACUUUCUUGAGUGCUGGAGAGGAAAGUGGAAUUCCUAGUGUAGCGGUGAAAUGCGUAGAUAUUAGGAGGAACACCAGUGGCGAAGGCGACUUUCUGGACAGUAACUGACGUUGUGGUACGAAAGUGUGGGGAGCAAACAGGAUUAGAUACCC
rnacentral:rRNA from 1 species